AUAGAUACCCUGGUAGUCCACGCCGUAAACGAUGAGUGCUAAGUGUUGGGGGGUUUCCGCCCCUCAGUGCUGCAGCUAACGCAUUAAGCACUCCGCCUGGGGAGUACGGUCGCAAGACUGAAACUCAAAGGAAUUGACGGGGGCCCGCACAAGCGGUGGAGCAUGUGGUUUAAUUCGAAGCAACGCGAAGAACCUUACCAGGUCUUGACAUCCCGGUGACCACUAUGGAGACAUAGUUUCCCCUUCGGGGGCAACGGUGACAGGUGGUGCAUGGUUGUCGUCAGCUCGUGUCGUGAGAUGUUGGGUUAAGUCCCGCAACGAGCGCAACCCUUAUUCUUAGUUGCCAUCAUUCAGUUGGGCACUCUAAGGAGACUGCCGGUGAUAAACCGGAGGAGGUGGGGAUGACGUCAAAUCAUCAUGCCCCUUAUGACCUGGGCUACACACGUGCUACAAUGGACGGUACAAACGGUUGCCAACCCGCGAGGGGAGCUAAUCCGAUAAAACCGUUCUCAGUUCGGAUUGUAGGCUGCAACUCGCCUAC
rnacentral:rRNA from 1 species